CGCUCAUCCAGAGGGGCAGAGGGAACGGCCCGUUGAAGCCCCGGCAACCCUCCAGCCGGUCCUGCGCAUCCAGGCGGGGCUCCCGGCUAGGGAAGGUGCCAAUUCCGUCUCGUGACGAGAUACGCCACGGGGAAGAUGAGGA
rnacentral:ncRNA from 2 species